UCAGGAUCCUCUUGCCCGUAUGCAUGUAAGUGUAUGCAUGUAAGUACGGUUGGCCCAAAGACGAAUUCUUGCAAGAUUUGGGAAACAGAGUGAAACAGUAUCUAUUCCUCUCUCAAGGUCUUUGUAGUUUGCUGUGACAACACAUGCAGACACCUGGAGGGUUCUAGCAUGUCCUGGCCCUCCCCCACUUCACACCCAGAUCUUCCAAAUUUCCAGCACAGCUGAUCAACAGUAGCCACACACCCAUCACAAGGGCCUUAACAUGGAUCCAAAGAGGCAGUAGCCAGGCAAAGACAAAAGCUUUUCACCGAGUAUUCUUCCAGCUUUCUUUCAGGGUCCCCCUCCUGGAUGUGGCAGGCCUCCCAGAUUCCCCUGGAAGUUCUGACUUGCCCAUACACACAAGGACCUCAGGAAACCCAAUAGUGACUUUCCUCAGAUCUGUGAAUUCCUUCUUCUGGAAAAUAACCUUCUCAACAAUUGUCUCACAUGGAGUUCCAUCAGUGAGUCCCACCGGGUCUACCUAGAAGCUGUAUCCAGAAUCUGGUCACUGCACAACAUCUCCUCUGCUUCCUCCCUGCUUUGAGGCACCAUUGAAUCUCUCUUGGUUGAAGGCAGUAACCUUCUAACUGGUCUCCGCUUGCAUCCCUUCCCACCUAUGUCUGUUCUCAACAUAGCUGCCAGCGUGAUCACGGCCCUUCUCUACUUAAAAUCCUCCAAAACACUCCAUGUUGCAUAAAGGGCAAGAUGUCUUUAAAAUGCGAAAGAGGCACUUCUGGAGCACUCUCUGCCACAUCUGACCUCAAUUUGUGCCCCUUUCCGUCUUAUUUACUCUGUUCCAGCCACACUGCCCUCCUGGAUUCUGUAAACAUUCCAAGCAUGCUGCCACCUCCAGGCAUUUGCACUGGCUGAUCCCUCUGCUUUGAAUGCUCUUGCUUUACUCCAAUGGCAUCCUCUCAGUGAGGGCUACUCUAUCCACUUUAUAGAAAACCAUGUACCUUCCCUGUACUCUGCUUCCUCCUUACACUGAUUUACUUGCCUUUCAGAGCAUGUGUCUCCUUCUAACAUACUGUACAAUUUAUCUAUGUUUGAUGUCUGUCUCCUAGAAAAAUUUGAGUUCCAUAAGGUCAUAGAUUUUUCUUCUUCUGUUCACACUGCUAUAUCCUCAACGUCUAGAACAAACUCUGAUAUAUAGUAUAUAUCAGAAUAUAUAUAAAUUCUGAUAUAUAGGUAUCCAGUAAUUAUGUGCUGAGUUACUGGGUGAUUGAGUCCAUUAGCAUGAUUCUGUUUGAAAACUGGGUAUACUGGAAGAACCCAGUCAACAACCUCGAACUGAACUGAAUUAGCGUCAGGUUUCCCUGUGGAUGGAAAUGAUCUGCUCUUCCAAGCUGUUUCCUAUGUGUCAUAAUGAGAAAGACUAAUUCCUCUUCCUAACACACACCCACUUCACAGAGGAAUGCUUUGAGACGUAAUUAAAUGGUAACGUGGAGAAAGCAUUUUGAUUUUCUAAGAGAAGCACUUUAUUAAUUUGAGGUUUUAUUGUGCGAAAGAAUUAUAAGUGACACAGGGGCAAGUACAGAGAUGAGAACAAUGUUAAAGGGAUUAUAGUGUUCACAAUACUACAUUGGAAUUGUAUGAGAUAAUUGAGUUAAGAUUGAUAUAAGCAGCAUGGAAUAAAGCAAAAUAGUUUGGGAAAUCUUACCCCAAAUGACAAGUUUUAAAGAAAUAGCUUCUUUUUUGUAAUCAACUCUCAAUUAUUUACAGCACAAUAUCCUCAUUAAUGAAUUAUUCUUCGCUUUUACUAUCCUUUUGUCCAGUUCGUGGCCAUUUUUCUUCUAAUUAGAAAUUCCAUACUAAUGUCAGAGAGUUGAUAAAGAAAAAAGAAGUAAAAAUUAAGAUUUGUCUUCUUCAUGAGUUUAUUCCUCGCUCAUUCCAGUUGACAUGUUUAAAUUCUGAUCUGGAGUAUUUC
rnacentral:lncRNA from 10 species